rnacentral:lncRNA from 1 species
GGAUUUAACCCCUCCAAUAGUCAGUCCUUGAACUAGAUACAAUGUUUUGGAAACAAAUUAUUAUAUUCAUUAAAAAUUCCAUAUCUCAUAAAUAAUAAAAGAAAAAGGAUUACUCAUAUUAUAACCCACAAUUCAUUAAAUGAAUUAUCACCAUCUACUUAAAAUAUAAAAUCAAUAAAUUAUAGUUGUGUAAGUUGAAAUAUUAAAACACAAUCACAAAUCUUAGGCUCCAUGGUUUGCCGACAACGCCAAAAUUACCAUCGGAGGUGGAAAAGUUAUACCCUCUUUGACACGGAUGCUUUCUUUAACAUCGAUGAUUUCAUCAAUUUUGACGCCAGGGGUGACAACAAUUUUGUUCUUACCCUUUUUUUCUUCAAUAGCCUUUUUAUAAAUUGAUGAUAAUGCUGGAUUUGGUUCAAUUUAUGUUGGCUAUAAAAGUGUGGUACUAGAUAUGAUAAACCGUCAAUGUGAUGUAGUAUGAAAGGUUUAAUAGAUUUUUUCUCACGUUACUCAGAAUCUAAAAUGCUUUUCACCAAAUCCUAUAGUUACUUGUUGUUCAUGAAGAUGGUGAAUAUUUGAUUAUGAAUACAAAUUUGAGACA